UUUUGCCCUGACUUUCCAUCCUUGAAGGCACUUCUUAAAAAUGUUACUUAUCCCAUAAGAUAAGCAGGGUCGGGCCUGGUUAGUACUUGGAUGGGAGACCACCUAGGAAGACCAGAUGCUGUAGGAG
rfam:Pteropus alecto contig41158, whole genome shotgun sequence.